rnacentral:rRNA from 1 species
GAUCAUGGCUCAGGAUAAACGCUAGCUACAGGCUUAACACAUGCAAGUCGAGGGGCAGCAUGGACCCAGCUUUGCUGGGUUUGAUGGCGACCGGCGCACGGGUGAGUAACGCGUAUCCAACCUGCCCUUUACUCCGGGAUAGUCUCCUGAAAGGGAGUUUAAUACCGGAUGUGUUUGUCUUUCCGCAUGGGAGCGACAAAUAAAGAUUAAUUGGUAAAGGAUGGGGAUGCGUCCCAUUAGCUUGUUGGG